AUAUAUAUAUAUAUAUAUAUAUAUUAGCGUGUAGUUCUUAGAUGUUGUGUUUUUAUCUGACAGCAAAUGUGUGUCUGAACAGAAUGAAACGUACUGUAUGUGUUACAAUACUUGAACCACUGAUCUACACAGGGUAAAACAACAUACAGGACUGCUGACCAAAGCUUUAUUCAUCUACAUCAGGAGAACAACUCUGGGACAAGAGCAUUUCUCUGAUCCAUCUUCUUUUCCGUUCUUCCACAAAAUGACCCAAGCACUCCGCCAUAGUCAUUUAAAUACCCCGUCAUUGAACUGUUUGUAUUUAUGCUUGAUGAAUAGUGAAAUUGAGGCGAUGUUACUUCCGUGUACAGGCACUCGUUUACACAUUCUGUUUAAUUUGAAAGAUUGACUGAAACAGUCUGAUGAUGUGGACCACUGUAUUGAUGUUUGACUGUUGACUCGCUUAAUUUUUCUUUUGAAGAAGAUGUGUGAAAAUGACAUUAGUGAUGUUGAAAUAGUAAUGAGGCUUAGUUAGCGAAGUAUGGAGAAAAAAAAAAAAAGUGCUGCACCACCAAGAAGGCCCACUUGGUCUCUGGUGCUUCUGUUACUUAGUUUUGCUUCUUGUUUUCUGCUUCAGCACUUGUUGGGGCAAAAGAUGAAAAGACUUGGGCAGUGCGGAGGAAAUACUUUGAAGGCUAUGGUACCACUUCAUUUUUCCAUUCCGUUGCAACGGCGUUCGACUUCCACAUUAAAAAGACAGUGAUGAAGGACGAGGGUGGAGGUUGAGAAGGAAAGAGGUGGAGGGAGAGAUUGACCAAACAUAACUGUUCACUGUGCCUUGUCGGCCCCUCUCCCAUACUGAAAAUGAUGCCUUUUGUCUUUCAAAUCAAUAUAUUUAAAUAUACAUUUUGACAACAAUCAUUUAAGAUGUAUUUUGAACUUACAAAAUAUGAAUAUGCUCAUUGGCUUUCUUUCCCAGACUGAGAUGAAAAGAUUCAUACCAAUCUCAUGUCAGAACGUUUAGCCAAGCUGGCAUGAAAAAGGAAAGAGCUAGCCUGGUUGAGUCAACCAACUGUCUAAAGCUGACUAAGCAAUCUUAGUUAACCUUUACAUAAUGUAAACGUAUAUUGUGGUUUUAGAAAGAGUGGACCGAACUAAAACUCCUUACUUCAGUUUUUCACUUUGCCUCACCACUGCUGUCAGUCUUUAUGCUAAGCUGAGCUAAGGUAACUGCGUCCUGAUUCCAGCUCUGCUCUUAACAUACAGACGUAAGACACGUAUUAACUCACUCUCUAAAACAAAAAAGGAAAGUAACAUUUUCUUUUUUCAAAUAACAAAUACUGCACCUACAAGCAACACAUAGCUAGCUAAUUUAUACCUUAUGUAUUAUCACAUUUGUUUUACUUUUGAACAAAGCCAGGCUAGCUGUUAUGCAUGCAUCUUUCUGCUGAGCUAACCGUAGCUUAGCUCUAGGUUAAAAUUUAGCGGCAGACAUGGGAGUGGUAUCAAUUUUCUCAUCCAAUGCUGUGAAUUUCCCAAAACUGUUUCUAUUAAAACAUAAAUAGAUAAAUUAGGAGCCCACGACAUGUUUGGGAUAUUCUAAAAGGCAUUUCCAAAUCUAUUCUAAGUGUUUGGAAACUGACUUAUUUUUCAGUAUGGGCCGCACCCUCCAAUGUGACACCACCUCAGACCCAUAUAGACACACCAAUGCACAACCUUUAUACUUCCCCUCGUGUCCCAUUUUUGAUCACUCUCCACACCGCAACACUCAAGUUACUGCAAGUUCCUCAUUCCUCCAGUUCUCUCCAGCUUCCUCACCUGCUGGGUUCACUUUGAUUAAAGUACAUUUCAGAGAAGGCGCAUAGGACAUAAAAAACAACCUUCACACAGAUUAAAGAAGAAAGGAAAAAAAUAUCUUAAAGAGUUUUAAUACUUUAUGAAUUCUGAUACCUUUUUAAGAGUUUCAGACUUGAAGCUGCUGUGACAGGUUUUGGCUGUUUCACGCCCGUGUAAAUAUCCUGCUCUUUCCUAUUUUGCAGAUUUAUUACGUGUAAAUAGACACGCAUCAAGGAGAGAUUAAACAUGUUUUUUGCUAAA